GCCGCCGUAGCUUAGUCGGCAGAGCGCCGGACUGUUAAUCCGGUGGUCCCCCGUUCAAGUCGGGGCGGCGGCGCCA
rnacentral:tRNA from 1 species